UACGUAGGGUGCGAGCGUUAAUCGGAAUUACUGGGCGUAAAGCGUGCGCAGGCGGUUUUGUAAGCCAGAUGUGAAAUCCCCGGGCUUAACCUGGGAAUGGCAUUUGGGACUGCAAGGCUUGAGUUUGGCAGAGGAGACUGGAAUUCCUGGUGUAGCAGUGAAAUGCGUAGAUAUCUGGAGGAACACCGGUGGCGAAGGCGGCGAUCCUGGACCGGCAUUGACGCUGAGGCGCGAAAGCCAGGGGAGCAAACGGG
rnacentral:rRNA from 1 species